UGUUGUUCUUCCCUCCAGUUUGGGACCUGCUGGCAGGAUUCUGACGUUGCGGCUCGCGACACCUGUGCCUAAAGUACCAACUUCUGCAGGCACAUAACAGAAUCUAGACAGUGACGAGGAGCCAUGAGAAGCCCCAUCUGUUCAUGAAGAUUUCACCUUGAGGCCAGCGCUGAAAACCCAGAGAAGACAGGAGAUCAAGCCCAUGAGGUCUGACAUGUUCAAGAAACAGCAAGUGGGCAAGCGUGGCUGGAUCAGAGUGAGAAGGGGUCCAGCUGAGAGAAGAAACAAGAGGCCCAAGCAUGACGGCCCUUGGGGACAGUGCGAAGGCUUUGGCUUUUCCUCACGGAGACAUAGGAAGCCACAGCAAGGUUCUGAGCAGAGGAAUGAUAUGCUCCUGCAUCUUUUAAAAAAACCAAUUUGAGGGUGAAGGGAGGGCAGGGACAAGGAGAAAAAAUGAGAAC